rnacentral:lncRNA from 1 species
UAGGAAGGGCAUCAUGCUGUAGUGAUCUGUUCCAGCUCUUCGUUGAACCUUUUGCAUUAAUCUUUUGCAUUGCAGAAGUGGUGCACAACCUUUGCAUUUAAAUGGUCAUUCAAAGCAUUACUCCUUAGCGACUCAUCUAUGCGUGGCAGCUUCAGAGUAAAGCGUCAAUAUCGUAUCAACUCCUCUGAGGUAUUUGAUGAAGGAAUUUGUGACCUUAACAACAGUUGAGAAUGAGUACUCGAGAGCAAUGCUAGGUAAGUAACCAGGCAAAGGUUCCGGGCAAUCAGUUCCAGAUUGAAAGUUUGAUUUCAGGUUUCGACUGAUUGCGUUUUUUCUCCUUAUCUUGCAGGUAAGAGCAAGGGCAAAGGAAAAGACAAGGAAAAAGCAUGAUAUGGGAUACUAAGAGCAAAGGCAAAGGAAAAGACAGGGAAAAAGCAUGAUAUGGGAUACUCUUGCUUUUGACCCUGAUGAUAUGAGAUAUUCUUGCUCUGGUGUGGCUA